ACCUAUGGCCAUACCAGAGUGAAUGCCCAUGCACAUUCAUAACAUUAAACAGUUUGGAACCUGGUUAGUACUUGGAUGGGAGACCACCUGGAAAUCCCAGCUGCAGUUGGCA
rnacentral:rRNA from 1 species